GCAGGUGGUGUAGUGGGUAGCACUCCUGGCCUGCAGCGCAGAAGCUGUUCAGGUGUAGGUUCGAAUCCGACUCAUUCUGCG
rnacentral:tRNA from 1 species